CAAGAGCCUGGUCCUGACUUUAGCAUCAGUUCUGGCCUGUAUUACACAUGCAAGCACCCGCAUACCUGUGAGAAUGCCCCGCAUCCCCCCGCCGGGGAGCAGGAGCGGGCAUCAGGCACACCUAGCGUAGCCCAAGACGCCUUGCUCAGCCACACCCACAAGGGAAUUCAGCAGUGAUAAAUAUUAAGCCAUGAGUGAAAGCUCGACUUAGUCAGGGCCAAGAGAGCCGGUUAAACUCGUGCCAGCCACCGCGGUUAUACGAGGGGCUCAAAUUGAUAUUGUACGGCGUAAAGAGUGAUUAGAAAAAUGAAUAGACUAAAGCCGAACACCCACUGAGCUGUCAUACGCUACUGAGCGAAAUGAAGCCCCGCAACGAAAGUAGCUUUAAUAACUUUGAAUUCACGGAAGUUAGGGAACAAACUGGGAUUAGAUACCCCAUUAUGCUUAACCUUAAACAACGAUGGCUAGAUACCACUGCCAUCCGCCAGGGGACUACGAGCACUAGCUUAAAACCCAAAGGACUUGGCGGUGCUUCAAACCCACCUAGAGGAGCCUGUUCUAUAACCGAUAAUCCCCGUUAAACCUCACCACCCCUUGCCAAAUACCGCCUAUAUACCGCCGUCGUCAGCUUACCUCUUGAGAGCCUCAUAGUAAGCCUAACGGGCUACGCCCAGCACGUCAGGUCGAGGUGUAGCGAAUGGGGUGGAACGAAAUGGGCUACAUUUUCUGGUACAGAAAAUACGGAAAGUGCCAUGAAACGAGCACGACUGAAGGUGGAUUUAGCAGUAAAAGAGAAACAGAGAGUCUCUUUGAAGAUGGCUCUGAAGCGCGUACACACCGCCCGUCACUCUCCUCGAACUACACCGCAAACGCUAUAUAAACGAACGCCCAGAAGACAAAAAGAGGAGGCAAGUCGUAACACGGUAAGUGUACCGGAAGGUGCACUUGGAAAAAUU
rnacentral:ncRNA from 1 species